UGGGAAUCUUGCGCAAUGGGCGAAAGCCUGACGCAGCCAUGCCGCGUGGAUGAUGAAGGUCUUAGGAUUGUAAAAUCCUUUCACCGGUGAAGAUAAUGACUGUAGCCGGAGAAGAAGCCCCGGCUAACUUCGUGCCAGCAGCCGCGGUAAUACGAAGGGGGCUAGCGUUGCUCGGAAUUACUGGGCGUAAAGGGAGCGUAGGCGGACAUUUAAGUCAGGGGUGAAAUCCCGAGGCUCAACCUCGGAACUGCCUUUGAUACUGGGUGUCUUGAGUGUGAGAGAGGUAUGUGGAACUCCGAGUGUAGAGGUGAAAUUCGUAGAUAUUCGGAAAAACACCAGUGGCGAAGGCGACAUACUGGCUCAUUACUGACGCUGAGGCUCGAAAGCGUGGGGAGCAAACAGGAUUAGAUACCCUGGUAGUCCACGCCGUAAACGAUGAUUGCUAGUUGUCGGGAAGCUUGCUUUUCGGUGACGCAGCUAACGCAUUAAGCAAUCCGCCUGGGGAGUACGGUCGCAAGAUUAAAACUCAAAUGAAUUGACGGGGUCAUAGCUGUUUCCU
rnacentral:rRNA from 1 species